rnacentral:sRNA from 1 species
GAAUUCUACAAAGAGGCUAUGGGAAAGAAACCUGGAAAGUACCCUUGGCUGUGUACAUUUGAGUAAAGAGAGCACUAUAAAAUCAAAAACCAAUGAAAUGGUUUCCAGAACACAGAACUAUUAAGCUUAAGAAAAGGACAGAAGGAACUGAAGAGAGAGGAACUGUUUUGGAGCAUCACACUUCCACCUCAGAAGAAAUAAGGAAGGAAGGAGGAGGGUGUUCCCACGGCUCUUCAACCAGGCGGGCUCUUCAGCCUACAUCCCCAUCUCAUCAAGUAAAAGGGAUUUUUCAACUGGACCAACCAGAUGGUUUAACAGUGCACUCCCACACCAUUCAACUACGCAAGGGAGAUACACUUAACAUAUGCAGUCGUAUAACACCUACUAACAUUUUCAAACAUUAAACCUUUAAAAAAGAGUUCUAAAGAAAUAGAAGCUUGAAGUAUCAUCUCUCAAGUAUAUAGACACUACUUCAUGGUGUGGUAAUAUAUGCAUAUAGAAGCUAGUAAACACCUCCAGGAGAUGCAAAAGGAAUUAGAACUGCCACAAGGUGCAAGCAAAACCUUGAGUCUCCAUUGAUGGUGAAGUAUUUUCACUAUUUGGCAUGUCUUCUCUAGUACCUAGAGCAGUGUGUUGCAUGCAGUAGCAAGUUUAUAAACAUUUGCGAGUAAAACAUCCAACCUGAUACUCAAGGUGAGAAAAUCGAAUUUGGACACCGUUGAGGAGACUAUUGCAGUCAUCCAAGCUCAAGAUGGUGGAGCUUCAUCCUUGAGAAUAACCAAUGGGGAUAGAUUUAAGAGACACUUAGAGUCUGCAGCCAACAGGGCUGAAUGAGCAGAGAGUUAUGAUUCAGAAGAUCAUCUAAAAUUGAACAGCUGCCACUACUGGCAAUAAGUCUACUGCCAUUUGGUAGAUAACCUUCUUAUCACACAGAAAAAUAUCAGUACAGACAAAUAGACUGCAAAGAAAAUGAGACCAUCAGCAAAGAAGAUAAAGAAGUUUGUACAAAGCAACUUUUUAUAAAUGGAUGGCUGUCAGGCAAAAAUAAAUUUCCUGUGGACAAGACCAAGAGCAAGGCAAGAGGAAAAUAAACAUGUUUAAACUA